UUGAUAUCGGGCACAGCGUACUUCCGGUUUCUGCUCGCACUAACAAAAUGCCUGGCGCGAAUUGUGUUUUGUUCGGAUGUUCCGCCUGCAAUAAAAGAAAUCGCUUACCCAAAAACAACAGAGUGGAGAGAGAAUCAUUACGUAUCAUACAGUCUACCAGAUCAGACCCGAUAAAUGACAAGACCUUGACAAUAUGUUCAAGACACGUUGAGCCGGAUUAUUUCGUUGAAAAAAUGUUUACAAAAAUUCUGGGUCCACAUAUCGAAGAUUAAAAGAAGGGUUAGGGAGAGUAUCAACCUUAAUUCUUCUACAGAAAAGCGUAACAACAAAGAAAUUGAAUCCAAGGAAGUCACCGAGUCCAAGGAAAACCGAGGAAACUCAAUGUUUACAUAUGAACGAAGUAACCUUUCAGAUGUUGCAGAAAUCAUUUUUAUGUCAAAUGCCUGCUUUGUGGCUAUGUCAGUCUUCAAGUGAUUAUAUCUAUCUGUUUAAAACUGAAGAUAAAAGUGUAACAUACCAUUUAACCAUUGACAAGGACUUGAAUUGUGAAGUACAAUAUAAUAAUUUUUGUUUCCUGUUCAAAUUAAAGUUACAUCUAUAGAUUUACUUAUAAGAACUGUUGAGAAUAUGAAGAUAUGUAGGGGCAUAACAUCAAAACAUUUACAGUCUUAUUCUCAAUGUCAGCCUACAACUGUAAGAUAUAUCAGACAGGUUGAUCUUUUCAUGAACACAAAUAAGUCAACAUAUAAAUUACGAAAUCUGUGUACUUGCUUCUGUAUGUAAUAGUUUUCUUGAGGACACUCAAAUCGAAAUUUGUUUAAGUUGUCGACAGAUUAACAGAGAUUUACAGAGAAAGUAAAAAGCAAUAAUAAUAGUUUAUUUCACAUAUAUGGCUACAUAGCACAUUGCAUAUUCAGAUUUUGAUUGAAAAUAUAUAAUUCAAAGAAUCAAUAUUUACAUACUUGUAAAUGUAAUUUACAAUUCAAAAAUAGCUUAGCAAUAAUAUAUAGUUGCCAUAUAAACGAGCAAAAAGUGGUAGAAUAUAAUCAUGUGGUACGAAUUUGAUUAAAAUGUAGAUUUCACUCCAUUUUGAUUUAUUUCUUCCAACUGACUCCACUCCACAUAGAUUUGAGGUCAAAUGAGAAGUUAUAGAGUUAAACUGUCAUCAUUGAUGUCAGGUAUUUUAUUUACAGCACUUUGCUGCAAGCAUUUCACACAAUGAAAGUAACAAAAACACAGAUUAUACAGAUAAUUUCAUACAACAAAAUAGAAAGUGUAUAAUUAAACUAAACAUCACCUGGCUCUAUUGGAAUUAAUAUCGAUAUUGGAAGUAUAAAAAUAUAAAUGUGAUUGAAUCUAGGAUUAAAUCUAGAACUUAAUCAGCAGUGUUCUACAGAUUUUUUAUUUCUUGUUAUUACUGUAUUGUAGAUAAUAAGUAAUGAAAAGAAAACAAGGCCCCAAGUUCACAAAGCAUUCUCAGUCUUUUAAGUUAAGGUUUUACUAAAAAUUGUUUGUCUUAUUGUAACUUAAAUAUAGCACUUUACUAACUAUUGUUGUUUUAAUGUAAAUAUAUCAAUAAGAAACUAUGUGCAAAGUUUUGUGUUUCUGGAUCAAAGAUAUUUCUCAAAAACAGUGAUUGAAAGUUGAGCAAAUUAUUAAGUCUGGGAAUGCUUUGUGAACUUGGGGCCAGGUUGAUAAUUGUAAACAAAAUAUAUCGAGACGCAAUGAAAUAGCACCUCUGAGAUGACGUGGCAUAACUUUGCACCUUCAACAGUUGCACAAAACCUAGCUUUUUAAAAGCUGCAUUAUAUACCCCACGUGUGUACCAGAAAAAUCAACAUACUGAUUCUGUUGGGUUUAAUUUUUUUGAUUGAGAAUUGUUCGGGGUGCGUUGUUACUGAUGAUGUUGUUACAUCCUUAAUUGCAAGAUUAAAGCAAAUCUUUAAAACAAAAUUGAACUGAAAAGUACUAAGUAGGGCGUUAAACCUGGAUUCAUUUCAAACAAGAUUUACAUUCAUCUAUUUAUAAAAGUGAUGUAUUAUUUUUAUUGCAUCUCAGUAUAAAAUAUUAACAAUGAUAACAAAAUUUAUACAAAUUUUAUACAGGUGCACAACUUGUAAUGUGUGAGCUUUAUAAAUGUAUUAAAUUAUUCUUAAAUAUACAUUAUGUAAGAUUUUGAUAAAGAGCUAGCCAUUCUUGCUAUAAUAGUUCGAAGAUAAAUAAUGUAAAAUGAAUAAUUUGAAAAUUUCAUUCAAAUUACUCUAUUGCGAGCGAAGAUAUUAGCCUUUGAAGGCCUUUGAAGGUUUGACAAGACGUGUGCAAUAAUCUCAACCAUCGUACUGGUUGUUCGAAGUAGUCUCACUCCUCCAUUUUUAGCUUAAAUCAAAAUAUGGCUGAACUGUUCUAAUCUAUUUAAUAUUGGAGAAAUCCGAUGCCAUCGAGAGUUGAUUAGGGCCUGGAUAAGUUAAUUAAUGUCUAAUUAAUAAUUUAGAAAACAUUUCAGGCCUAAAGAAAACCUGCAAUAGGCAGAUUUAGCUCUUGCAUAAUGUAUGUUUAAUCAUUAUUAUCAUAAGCUUAUGGAUUUUUUUGUGCAUUUCUAUUUGCCUUUAGUGUUUAUCAAUGGUCAUUAUCUGUUAAAUUCACAAGUUUUAUUUAACAAGCAUCACUGUCAUGUGAAUAAAAUAUCUUUGAACAGA